AACGAACGCUGGCGGCAGGCUUAACACAUGCAAGUCGAACGCACUCUUCGGAGUGAGUGGCAGACGGGUGAGUAACACGUGGGGAUCUGCCCGAUGGUACGGAAUAACACAGAGAAAUUUGUGCUAAUACCGUAUGAGCCCGCAAGGGGAAAGAUUUAUCGCCAUCGGAUGAACCCGCGUCGGAUUAGCUAGUUGGUGUGGUAAAGGCGCACCAAGGCGACGAUCCGUAGCUGGUCUGAGAGGAUGAUCAGCCACACUGGGACUGAGACACGGCCCAGACUCCUACGGGAGGCAGCAGUGGGGAAUAUUGGACAAUGGGCGCAAGCCUGAUCCAGCCAUGCCGCGUGAGUGAUGAAGGCCUUAGGGUUGUAAAGCUCUUUCGCCGACGAAGAUAAUGACGGUAGUCGGAGAAGAAGCCCCGGCUAACUUCGUGCCAGCCGCCGCUGUAAAAC
rnacentral:rRNA from 1 species